GAGCGAGCAAUCUAAUGGUGUCUUCGGUUCAGUUUUGGGGAACAGUUGAAAACAAUGGGAGUUGGAAGGGGAAGAACUGCAGAUGAAAAUGUGGGGGAUGACAACACAGGGAGAGGACAAGGUGUCUCAAGCAUUACAACAAGGAGAUACGGACAUCUAGCAGCCACCGGCAGCAUGACGAGGCCGAUGACAUAAAGUUAGUCACAUAUUCCUUCAUGUUUAGACCGGAUCUUUUCAAGGGACUCCAGCAUGGUGGGAUCUUUACGGAGGACUACAGCAUGGCUUCUAAGGAAUGUAUACCAUAUAGGCUACUGAUUCAUAUAAGAACAGGUUCCAGACCAUCAAUUGGUGCAUGAUAUGUGGAAUGGAUAGUAGUUUGGGAUUUGUUUGUUUUUCCUUUUGAAAGCACCAGAAGUCCUAAAUCCAUCGAAAGAUCGUCAAAAAUGGUUAUCUAAUUCAUCAACAGUUAUCAGAGCCAUUGAAGAGAUCUGGAGCAUGUCGGUGAUUUUAUUGAAUCAAAUGUGCAUGUCCGAGUUCGAAUUGAACUGCUAAAUGACAGAGCAUUCUUGCUCUAUAUUGAUAAGGACUAUCCUUUGGAAGAUCGGAUCUGUAAGGGGGAGCUUAUUCAGUGGACACCUAAAUAUGGGUCAAUGGGGUGUGUGGUUACUCAACUAUUUCCGCUUCAGAUAGUAGCCUCGCUCUCUAUCCUAAGUUCAGUGUUGGUAACUGAAUGCAUAAUCUGUCAGUAGAAUCACAUGACUCAGUGACCAAUGACGGUACAGAUGAUCUCGGCAUAGCAAUCACUGAAUACAAUUGCAUUGUCUGGUGUGUAACAUAUAUGCCAUACCAGGUAUGUUGGCAGUCAAGAAGGUUGUUGUUGAGUUUGACAGAUUUGGCGGAAAUUUCUACCGAUAGCAAUUAUAAAUGCCGAAUCAUUUGUAUCAACACAAGCUAAUACAGCUCAAGUUGGUGAGCACUUUGUUUAGUUAUUGCAAAGCUAGGCUCUUAUCAAUUAUGUACCAACUAGAAGCUUCCUGACGUAUGAUGGUGUUGUAUCUUCCUUUUGAUGGAACUCUGUUUCGUGUCGGUGAGACAUAUUAUAAGUUGCUGAGAAGAUGCUGAAUCAAAAUGUGUUAGCUUUUUUACUGUUUCUAUACGAUAGUGCUCAUUUUGAUUUUAAUCGUGAAGAACUAUCUAUGCGCUCUCUAUGUUUUGUUUCUAUGCUCACCAA